GACGAACGCUGGCGGCGUGCCUAACACAUGCAAGUCGAGCGAUGAAGUUUCCUUCGGGAAACGGAUUAGCGGCGGACGGGUGAGUAACACGUGGGUAACCUGCCUCAUAGAGGGGAAUAGCCUCCCGAAAGGGAGAUUAAUACCGCAUAAUAUUACAGUUUUGCAUGAAACAGUAAUUAAAGGAGCAAUCCGCUAUGAGAUGGACCCGCGGCGCAUUAGCUAGUUGGUGAGGUAACGGCUCACCAAGGCGACGAUGCGUAGCCGACCUGAGAGGGUGAUCGGCCACAUUGCGACUGAGACACGGCCCAGACUCCUACGGGAGGCAGCAGUGGGGAAUAUUGCACAAUGGGGGAAACCCUGAUGCAGCAACGCCGCGUGAGUGAUGACGGUCUUCGGAUUGUAAAGCUCUGUCUUUGGGGACGAUAAUGACGGUACCCAAGGAGGAAGCCACGGCUAACUACGUGCCAGCCGCCGCCGUAAAAC
rnacentral:rRNA from 1 species